rnacentral:rRNA from 1 species
CCUACGGGUGGCAGCAGUGAGGAAUAUUGGUCAAUGGGCGCGAGCCUGAACCAGCCAAGUAGCGUGAAGGAUGACUGCCCUACGGGUUGUAAACUUCUUUUAUAAAGGAAUAAAGUGAGGCACGUGUGCCUUUUUGUAUGUACUUUAUGAAUAAGGAUCGGCUAACUCCGGGCCAGCAGCCGCGGUAAUACGGAGGAACAGAGCGUUAUCCGGAUUUAUUGGGUUUAAAGGGAGCGUAGAUGGGUUGUUAAGUCAGUGGUGAACGUUUGCGGCUCAACCGUAAAAUUGCAAUUGAUACUGGCAGCCUUGAGUACAGUUGAGGUAGGCGGAAUUCGUGGUGUAGCAGUGAAAUGCUGAGAUAUCACGAAGAACUCCGAUUGCGAAGGCAGCCUACUAAACUGCCACUGACAUUGAUGCUCGAAAGUGUGGGUAUCAAACAGGAUUAGAUACCCUUGUAGUC